rnacentral:rRNA from 1 species
AAUGAACGUUGGCGGCGUGGAUUAGGCAUGCAAGUCGUGCGGAAAGGCCCCUUCGGGGGUACUCGAGCGGCGAAAGGGUGAGUAACGCGUGGGUACCUGCCCCCUGGACCGGAAUAGCUGCGGGAAACUGCAGGUAAUGCCGGAUAAAAUCCCCGGAUCAAAGGUGUUAGCCGCCGGGGGAUGGGCCCGCGUCCUAUUAGCUUGUUGGUGGGGUAAUGGCCUACCAAGGCGAUGAUGGGUAGUGGGCGUGAGAGCGUGGCCCACCACACUGGGACUGAGACACUGCCCAGACACCUACGGGUGGCUGCAGUCGAGAAUCUUCGGCAAUGGGCGCAAGCCUGACCGAGCGACGCCGCGUGUGGGAUGAAGGCCUUCGGGUUGUAAACCGCUGUCGGAGGGGAGGAAAUGCUAGGUAACCCCUAGUUUGACCUAUCCUCGGAGGAAGUCCGGGCUAAGUUCGUG